rnacentral:lncRNA from 12 species
CUUCCCCAGACUUUUAAAAUUUCCUGGGGGCUUAAGUCCUCAUAGUCUGCUCUGGCUCUGAACUCAUUUUUCUGCGGAAAAAUAAUUGUGUUGGUUGGAUCAUCCUGUUCCCUGUUAGUCACCUACUGACCUAGAUGUGGGACACUCCUCUCCAUCCUCCAGUUAUGAAGGGUCUUUCUGGGGCAAGAAGGGCAGAAAGAGAAGGUUGAGGAGAGAGGAAGGAGUUCUAUCACAUCCGUGUAGAUAGUUUCAAAUUACUAUUAAAUUUCUCUAUUUUUAUGUCUCCAUUGGCCACCAAGAUGAGGUUACUGGCUAAGGCAGUCUCUUGGCACAAGAUUGACAUGGAUUCUUCUUUCCAGGAAACAGAAGAAACCAGUGUCAGCCUUACAAGUGUGUCCCUUGUAUGCUUGCUCUGAGACGUGGACCACACCUCCUCCAUUCCCUAAUUCCUUAUUUGCUGGAAACAUUGUUCAAGGCAAAGAGAGACUUAGCCUUCUGAUGUCUGGGCCAGCCAUGUUAGCCAAUGGGCCAUGCUUGACAGAACAGUGCCCAUAGGAUGGAAAUUACUAGAACAGAGACACAUGAAGGGCCAUUUGGAGUUAUUAAGCCAAGAAAGAGGUCUAUAACUCAACUAAGAAAUGGAGUCUGCAUAGAGAAUUCUUGUUUUUCCUAAGGCAGAUGAUUUCUGGUAUCCAGAGGAAAUAACCUGUAGGACAGUUGGAAGAGAAUUAGAACAACUAGUUAUAUGCGUAUGGCAUUAUUUAUAGCAAGGAGAUUCCAUUUGAUGAAUCCUUUUUCUGUUUAAAAGGGAGAGAGAGAGACUAUUGUUUUUGUUUGACAACCAAAGAUGAAUUGACUCAUCUUGUCCAGGAAGGAUGUGAGGGAUCAGCUAAAUGUUAGAGCUGGGACAUAAUACCUGUGUAGCCACACCUCAAGAGUGACCUCUUGACCCUGAUCUCAAGAGUGAGGAUUAAGCAGGGGCACCGGGUGGCUCAGUUGGUUGAGUGGCCAACUCUUGGUUUCAGCUCAGGUUCAUGAUCUUGGGAUCCUGGGAUUGAGCCCCAUGUUGGGCUCCAUACUUGGGAGACUGCUUCAGGACUCACUCUCGCUAAAAUAAAUAAACAAAUCUUAAAAAAAGAGUGAGGAUU